AGACCAAUGACCGGGUGCCUAUACAUGCAAGUCGAGCGAAUCGAUGGGAGCUUGCUCCCUGAGAUUAGCGGCGGACGGGUGAGUAACACGUGGGCAACCUGCCUAUAAGACUGGGAUAACUUCGGGAAACCGGAGCUAAUACCGGAUACGUUCUUUUCUCGCAUGAGAGAAGAUGGAAAGACGGUUUACGCUGUCACUUAUAGAUGGGCCCGCGGCGCAUUAGCUAGUUGGUGAGGUAAUGGCUCACCAAGGCGACGAUGCGUAGCCGACCUGAGAGGGUGAUCGGCCACACUGGGACUGAGACACGGCCCAGACUCCUACGGGAGGCAGCAGUAGGGAAUCUUCCGCAAUGGACGAAAGUCUGACGGAGCAACGCCGCGUGAACGAAGAAGGCCUUCGGGUCGUAAAGUUCUGUUGUUAGGGAAGAACAAGUACCAGAGUAACUGCUGGUACCUUGACGGUACCUAACCAGAAAGCCACGGCUAACUACGUGCCAGCAGCCGCGGUAAUACGUAGGUGGCAAGCGUUGUCCGGAAUUAUUGGGCGUAAAGCGCGCGCAGGUGGUUCCUUAAGUCUGAUGUGAAAGCCCACGGCUCAACCGUGGAGGGUCAUUGGAAACUGGGGAACUUGAGUGCAGAAGAGGAAAGUGGAAUUCCAAGUGUAGCGGUGAAAUGCGUAGAGAUUUGGAGGAACACCAGUGGCGAAGGCGACUUUCUGGUCUGUAACUGACACUGAGGCGCGAAAGCGUGGGGAGCAAACAGGAUUAGAUACCCUGGUAGUCCACGCCGUAAACGAUGAGUGCUAAGUGUUAGAGGGUUUCCGCCCUUUAGUGCUGCAGCUAACGCAUUAAGCACUCCGCCUGGGGAGUACGGCCGCAAGGCUGAAACUCAAAGGAAUUGACGGGGGGCCCGCACAAGCGGUGGAGCAUGUGGUUUAUUUCGAAGCAACGCGGAAGAACCUUACCAGGUCUUGACAUCCUCUGACAACCCUAGAGAUAGGGCUUUCCCCUUCGGGGGACAGAGUGACAGGUGGUGCAUGGUUGUUCGUCAGCUCGUGUCGUGAAGAUGUUGGGUUAAGUCCCGCACGAGCGCAACCCUUUGAUUCUUUAGUUGCCAGCAUUCAGUUUGGGCAACUCUCUAAGGGUGACCUG
rnacentral:rRNA from 1 species